rnacentral:rRNA from 2 species
UCGGAUCAGACGGGACUACCCGCUGAAUUUAAGCAUAUCAAUAAGCGGAGGAA